GAAAUGCGAUAAUUAAUGUGAAUUGCAGAAUUCAGUGAAUCAUCGAGUCUUUGAACGCACAUUGCGCCCCCUGGUAUUCCGGGGGGCAUGCCUGUCCGAGCGUCAUUGCUGCCCUCAAGCACGGCUUGUGUGUUGGGCUUCCGUCCCUGGCAACGGGGACGGGCCCAAAAGGCAGUGGCGGCACCAUGUCUGGUCCUCGAGCGUAUGGGGCUUUGUCACCCGCUCCCGUAGGUCCAGCUGGCAGCUAGCCUCGCAACCAAUCUUUUUAACCAGGUUGACCUCGGAUCAGGUAGGGAUACGCGCUGAAGUUAAGC
rnacentral:misc_RNA from 1 species